CUACGGGAGGCUCCAGUGGGGAAUAUUGGACAAUGGGGGAAACCCUGAUCCAGCAAUGCCGCGUGUAUGAAGAAGGCCUGCGGGUUGUAAAGCACUUUCGGUUGGGAGGACUGCUUCUAGCACUAAUAUUGUUGGAAGUUGACGUUACCUUCAGAAGAAGCACCGGCUAACUCCGUGCCAGCAGCCGCGGUAAUACGGAGGGUACAAGCGUUAAUCGGAAUUACUGGGCGUAAAGCGCGCGUAGGCGGCUAGAUCAGUCGGGUGUGAAAGCCCCGGGCUUAACCUGGGAACUGCAUCCGAUACUGUCUAGCUUGAGUACAGGAGAGGAGAGUGGAAUUCCACAUGUAGCGGUGAAAUGCGUAGAUAUGUGGAGGAACACCAAUGGCGAAGGCAGCUCUCUGGCCUGAUACUGACGCUGAGGUGCGAAAGCGUGGGGAGCAAACAGGAUUAGAUACCCUCGUAGUC
rnacentral:rRNA from 1 species